AUUGAACGCUGGCGGCAUGCCUUACACAUGCAAGUCGAACGGUAACGCGGGGCAACCUGGCGACGAGUGGCGAACGGGUGAGUAAUGUAUCGGAACGUGCCCAGUUGUGGGGGAUAACUGCUCGAAAGAGCAGCUAAUACCGCAUACGACCUGAGGGUGAAAGCGGGGGAUCGCAAGACCUCGCGCAAUUGGAGCGGCCGAUAUCAGAUUAGGUAGUUGGUGGGGUAAAGGCUCACCAAGCCAACGAUCUGUAGCUGGUCUGAGAGGACGACCAGCCACACUGGGACUGAGACACGGCCCAGACUCCUACGGGAGGCAGCAGUGGGGAAUUUUGGACAAUGGACGCAAGUCUGAUCCAGCCAUGCCGCGUGCGGGAAGAAGGCCUUCGGGUUGUAAACCGCUUUUGUCAGGGAACGAAACGGUCUGGGUUAAUACCCUGGGCUAAUGACGGUACCGUAAGAAUAAGCACCGGCUAACUACGUGCCAGCCGCCGCAGUAACAC
rnacentral:rRNA from 1 species